rnacentral:tRNA from 1 species
AUAUCUUUAGUAUAUUAGUACAUUUACCUUCCAAGUAAAAAGAUUAUUUUAAUAAAAGAUAUA